rnacentral:lncRNA from 10 species
AUAAAUGUUCACGGCAGCUUUAUUUGCUUUAUUUUUAUUUAGAAAUUGGAAAUAAUCGAAAUAUCGGUCAACAGGUAAAUAAAUAAACUGUGGUAUAUCCAUGCAAUACAAAAUGUGGAUUAUUGAUGUACACAAAAUGGGUGAAUGCCAAAAUAAUUAUGCUGAGUAGAAGCACCUCCCCCCACAGUACUUGCUCUGCGAUUCCACUCAGAUAAAAUUCUAGAAUAUAUAAAUUAACCUUUAGUGAGAGGGAGCAGACCAGUGGUUGCCUGAACAUGGAGGACACGAGGGACGGUUUAGACCGGGGUGUGAAACUGCUGUUGGUGGUGAUGGACAUGUUCUGGCGACAGCUUCACAGGCAAAUGCAUCGGUCACUUCACGUAUGUGCAGUUCAUUACCUGUCAGUUACACCUCAACAGAGCUGUUUUAAAAAGCAAGGUGGGGCCGGCUUUGGUGGCUCACACCUGUAAUCCCAGCACUUUGGGAGGCCAAGGAAGGAGGAUCGCUUGAGGCCAGGAGUUUAAGACCAGCCUGGGCAACACAGUGAGACACUGUUCCUAUUUUAAAUAACAAAACAAAACAAAAGUGGUACAAUAACAACUUUUAAAACUCAAAAAGAAACAAAGAAAGAGAUAAAAGAGAUUCAAGAGACAGUGGCAAACACUGAGAACAGCCAAUUUAGAUUUCAACAUACAGAUAACAGGGAUCCCCACAGAAAAAAGCCAAAGCAAGAAAAAUGUAACACUAAACUCCAGUUCAAGCAAAUCUUCUUAAAAUAACAGAUAUGAAGUACACAUAGAAAGAGCACACCAUACGCUUGCAAAUAUGGACCAGGACAACCAAUACCAACACAUGACACAUUCGAAUAAAACGGCCGACUUGACAGAAAAAGGAAAAAAUCCUUUGGGCAUCUAAGGAAAAACAGCAUAUGACUGUCAGGGGAAGAAAACAAGAUUCAUCAGGCUUUUCAUGCAUCACUUUAUGCUGGAAGAAAACAGAAUAAAACAAGAUACUCAAAGAAAAUCUGGCAAUGAGCAUCCUAAACUGGAUCUGAAAUACCAUCUCUACCAGAGACUCUGGGAAAAAUAAUGGAUUCCAAGUGUUAAACGGAAUUAAGUUUGGCCUAAAACUGCCUCUGUACAUAGUGACUUAUAACCUCACUUAAUGUAUAAGCAAACUGGGACCUGACUUGAGAGUACACUUCUGUAACAAGCAGCAGAGUCUCACCAAUCACAUGCUGAAGGCUCCCAAAACAUGCCUAUGUGAGGUGGAGGCUGACCUGCAGUCAGUCUGGCCAUGUACAUGUGUCUUUCCCUUCCUGUGGCUAUAAAUAAAUACAGCCUGCACACAACGCACAGGAGAACGUUCUGAACCACUUUUGGUCCUGAGUGCUACCCAGCUGAAGAAACUAUUUUCUGCUCAAUUAAACUGCUAACUUGUCUAAAGUUUUUCUUUUAAGACAGGUUUGGAGCAGAAGCUCUAUAAAUUGGGCCUAGAGCAUCUUGACAUGCCAGGCUGCAGGGAGCUAUCAAUGACUGUGCGUGUGGUCUGUGCACACAUGUAUGCACACAUGUGCACACUUAUCAAAAGAAAGCAAGAGCCAAGCUGAAGAGGCUCCCUCUCACUGACCGAAUAAGCUAGUCUGAGCUAAAUAAAGAUAAAAAUCACAACGGAUUGAAACCCACCAAGUAUGCUUAACUCCACAAAUUCUUUUUUUUUUUUAAGACAAGGACUUGCUGUCGCCCAGGCUGGAAUGUGGUGGCAUGGUCACAGCUCACGCAUCCUCGACCUCCUGGGCCCAAGCGAUCCUCCCAUCUCAGCCUCCAGAAUAGCUGGGACAACAGGCAGGCACUACCACACCCACCUGAUUUUAUUUUAAUUUUCUGUAGAGACAGGGUGUCACUAUGUUGCCCAGACUAGUCUCAAACUCCUGGGUUCAUGUGAUCCUCCAGCCUCAGCCUCCCAAAGUGCUGGGAUUACAGGCAUAAGACACCAUGCCCAGCCCAUGAAUUCUUGUAUAUAUGUAAAAACCCUUCACCACUCACCUUCCUUGACAGACAACUAAUGCAUUAUCUUAAAAACUUAGUGUACAAGAGCAAAGAAUCAAGCAUUUAUCCUGCCCUUCCUAUAUGAACUGUACCACUGGGUAACCAGAUAAGUAUAAAAAAGAAAACACUUUCUUAGAAAACCAUUCCAGCUAAUAAAGGCAAGCAAAACGACAGAAUGAGAAUACCACCAUUUUGCAACCCCAAAUAAUUAAUGGAUCUUGGCACUGAGCAUCAGCUGCCGUCAACAUGGUACUUUCCUGAGGAAAGCUCCUAACCGCCUGUUCUCCUGCCAAAGGGAUCAAAUUUGAGGCUCAUCAAGCCUCUGGACCCAGCUGCCAAUGUGCAGGAAACAUAGAGGACCAUGCUGAACUACACCAUGACCACGUGGUCAGCAAAAUCUACACUGUGGGAAGCCAUGGGACAAACAGCCCAGGCUCUUCAACAGAUAAACGGCAGGGAAAACAGUGAGGCCGACGGGACUGCAAAUGGACACUGAAGUAGAUAAAAAAAUAAACAAAAAAAAGCAGACAAGACUAAACUGCCAUCAAAAAACCAAGAAAGUCAUUUCUGUAAAAGUCAGGAUUACUUGUUGGGGCAAGGAGGGGGAGAAGAAGAGGGCUGUGGCUGGAGGGGCACUUGGGAGAGCCUCCUGGGGUAUCUGGCAAAGUACUAUUUCUUCACCAGGUGGUGGACACAAAGGUUAUUCACCUUACAAUCAUAAUCAUUCAAUAAGCUAUACAUUUGUUUUGUGUCACUUCCUGUAUGUUUUUAUAAUAAAAAGGUUUAAAACUAAAUAAAUAAUCAUGUCAAACUUUUACUACUUUUUUUUUUUUUUGAGACAGAGUCUCACUCUGUUGCCCAGGAUGGAGUGCAGUGGUGCAAUCUUGGCUCACUGCAACCUCUGCCG